rnacentral:rRNA from 1 species
UACCAGCUCUCCGAGUGGUAGGGAUGAUUAUUGGGCUUAAAGCGUCCGUAGCCGGCUUAGCAAGUCUCCUGUUAAAUUCAGCGACCUAAUCGUUGAGCCGCGGGAAAUACUACUAGGCUAGGAGGCGGGAGAGGUCGACGGUACCUCUGGGGUAGGGGUGAAAUCCUAUAAUCCCGGGAGGACCACCAGUGGCGAAGGCUGUCGACUAGAACGCGCUCGACGGUGAGGGACGAAAGCUGGGGGAGCGAACCGGAUUAGAUACCCGGGUAGUCCCAGCUGUAAACGAUGCGGGCUAGGUGUUGGGGUGGCUACGUGCCACUUCAGUGCCGCAGGGGAAGCCAUUAAGCCCGCCGCCUGGGGAGUACGGCCGCAAGGCCGAAACUUAAAGGAAUUGGCGGGGGAGCACCACAAGGCGUGAAGCUUGCGGUUC